GUGGCAUGCUGGUUUGGCGCUUGGUUUUCUGCCCCCUGCUCCUGAACGUUACACAAGCCCUGCUUGUCUUACCCCCACAACAGGCCCACCAGAACUGUGGCCAGACAAAGGACGUCGCCCACCACCACCGCUCCGGACAGCUCCGGGGAGAUGGCCUGCAGGACGGGCAACGGAACGAAGUCGGACAGGCCCACGUGCUCCGUGUCCCGCACGCUGAGCAGCGUCAGGCCCACGCUGACGGUGCGGAUGACGCAGGCUACAGGGAGGAAUCACCGGGAUGUCAUGUAGAAAGGCCUGUACACCGCAGAUGCAGUGAAUGUCACCCUCGCUCCUCACUGGCACUGGAGCACUGGAAGGUGUGUGCCUUGCUCUGACCAACUUCUACAAAGUCUGUGAUCAGUGACUGGCAUCCCCCAUCACAUGGCCAGCACAAUGGCCAGGUUGCUUAUAUCCCCCCUGCAGCCUGGCUUUCACGAGUAUAAGA